rnacentral:misc_RNA from 1 species
AAGUCGUAACAAGGUUUCCGUAGGUGAACCUGCGGAAGGAUCAUCAUUGAUGUCCGGCCUUAAAUACCCCUGUGCACCAUUUUUGGUGGUUGCUGUGUGUGGGGCGGACCGGUCUCCGGCCUGUCUGUUCCACGCCCGCGCCGCCACCAUCGUUCAUAAACACCGCUUUGAGCAAACCUCUGAAAAACAUACACACAAAUAAUACACAACUUUUAACAACGGAUCUCUUGGUUCUC